rnacentral:lncRNA from 1 species
GCUAUUCCCCCAUGUAUGCGGGAAUAUCCUCGCCAAAUAGAGACUUAUACAAUGAGGGCAUAAGGGGACCCACACGAUACUUCUAUUGUGCCACUUUGGUGGAAUGGAGUAAAACCAUGGGAUAGGAUUGUCGUUGUUCUCUCUAAUUUAUCCUUUUACCCUUAUCCACUCUACGAGCACAUCAAAUGGCAAGAGUGUUGUCUUUGUAAUGAAAUACAAAUAUCUCAAAUUCAAAACACAUUAAACACACUUUAUUCUUUAUACUUAUCCUUCUAAUCAAAUGUCAAAUUCCUCCUAUUCCAUAGAAUGGUUGUGUCCCUUCAAUAGUAUAAGGAUAUUCCUUCCAAAAUUUAUUCCCACCCAAAUGGUACCUAUAUGUCUACGUGACAAAAGAAAAAUCCUAAUCUUAAAGUACGUCCAUUAGUCCAUCAGUCCAUCAAACAAAUACUCAUAGCGACCAACUUUAUGGGUGAGAUGUCCAUCUUAUGGACGCUAAACUUGUUAUUUUCAAGCCGCC